AAUAUAUGAUGAUCUUACAUUUUUUCAGGUCUGCUUCUGCAACUCUGAUGUUAACAUAUGCAAAGACUUUCUGUGCA
ensembl:snoRNA